rnacentral:rRNA from 1 species
AUGUCUGGGUUACACAACCGCUUAUCCCAGCUGGGAGUUAAUCUCUCGGAUGACGCGGUCAUUGACAGAAUCCUCCAGUCGCUUCCACCAAGCUACAAGAGCUUUGUGAUGAACUACAAUAUGCAGGGGAUGGAAAAGACCAUUCCUGAGGUAUAUUCAAUGCUGAAAUCAGCGGAAGGGGAGAUCAGAAAAGAACAUCAAGUGUUGAUGGUGAAUAAAACCACUAAGUUCAAGAAGGGCAAGGGUAAGAAGAACUUCAAGAAGAACGGCAAGGGAGUUGCCGCGCCCGGUAAGCCAGUUACUGGGAAGAAGUCAAAGAAUGGACCCAAGCCUGAAACUGAGUGCUUUUAUUGCAAGGGAAGUGCUCACUGGAAGCGGAACUGCCCCAAAUACUUAGCGGACAAGGAGGCCGGCAACACCAAAGGUAUAUGUGAUAUACAUGUAAUUGAUGUGUAG